UACGAAGGGGGCGAGCGUUGUUCGGAAUUACUGGGCGUAAAGGGAGUGUAGGCGGUUAUGUAAGAUAGGGGUGAAAUCCCAGGGCUCAACCUUGGAAUUGCCUUUAUAACUAUGUAACUAGAGUAAUGGAGAGGAUAGUGGAAUACCCAGUGUAGAGGUGAAAUUCGUAGAUAUUGGGUAGAACACCGGUGGCGAAGGCGACUAUCUGGCCAUUUACUGACGCUGAGGCUCGAAAGCGUGGGGAGCAAACAGG
rnacentral:rRNA from 1 species